GAGGGUAUAGCUCAGUGGUAGAGCACAUGCCUAGCAUGCACAAGGUCCUGGUUUCAAACCCCAGUACCCCCA
rfam:Camelus ferus unplaced genomic scaffold scaffold1279, whole genome shotgun sequence.